rnacentral:rRNA from 1 species
UACGGGGGGGGCAAGCGUUGUUCGGAAUUACUGGGCGUAAAGGGCUCGUAGGCGGCCAACUAAGUCGGACGUGAAAUCCCCAGGCUCAACCUGGGAACUGCGUCCGAUACUGGAUGGCUUGAAUCCGGGAGAGGGAUGCAGAAUUCCAGGUGUAGCGGUGAAAUGCGUAGAUAUCUGGAGGAACACCGGUGGCGAAGGCGGCAUCCUGGACCGACACUGACGCUGAGGAGCGAAAGCCAGGGGAGCAAACGGG